rnacentral:rRNA from 1 species
UACGUAGGGUGCGAGCGUUGUCCGGAAUUACUGGGCGUAAAGAGCUCGUAGGCGGUUUGUCGCGUCGUCUGUGAAAACCAGCAGCUCAACUGCUGGCUUGCAGGCGAUACGGGCAGACUUGAGUACUGCAGGGGAGACUGGAAUUCCUGGUGUAGCGGUGAAAUGCGCAGAUAUCAGGAGGAACACCGGUGGCGAAGGCGGGUCUCUGGGCAGUAACUGACGCUGAGGAGCGAAAGUGUGGGGAGCGAACAGG